rnacentral:rRNA from 1 species
AACGAACGCUGGCGGCAUGCCUAACACAUGCAAGUCGAACGAGACCUUCGGGUCUAGUGGCGCACGGGUGCGUAACGCGUGGGAACCUGCCCUUAGGUUCGGAAUAACUCCCCGAAAGGGGUGCUAAUACCGGAUAAUGUCUUCGGACCAAAGAUUUAUCGCCUUUGGAUGGGCCGGCGUUGGAUUAGCUAGUUGGUAGGGUAAAAGCCUACCAAGGCGACGAUCCAUAGCUGGUCUGAGAGGAUGAUCAGCCACACUGGAACUGAGACACGGCCCAGACUCCGAGGGGAGGCAGCAGUGGGGAAUAGUGGACAAUGGGCGAAAGCGUGAUACAGAAAAGCCGCGUGUGUGAAGAAGGUCUUCGGAUUGGAAAGCACUUUAAGUGGGGAGGAAGGGCAGUAAGUUAAUACCUUGCUGUUUGGACGUUACCAAAAGAAUAAGCACCGGCUAACUUCGUG